rnacentral:lncRNA from 1 species
AAUCUCAAAAAUCUUUGAAUACUCGUAAUAGAGGCGUUGAAACUUUGAAAAUUUAAAAUAUUUUGCUCGAAGGUAUUGGAAAUUAUAUUUGGAGGUCUUUGAGAUUAUGCUCGGAGGCCUCAUAAAUCUUAAAAAUCUUUGAAUGCUCCUAGUAAUAAAGGCGUUGAAACUUUAAAAAUUUAAAAUGUUUUGCCUAGAGCUGUUGGAAAUUAUGUCUGGAGGUCUUUGAUUGCUCCCCAUAAUAGAGGGGUUGAAACUUUAAAAAUUUAAAAUGCUUUGCCCAAAGGUCUUGG